GACGAACGCUGGCGGCGUGCUUAACACAUGCAAGUCGAACGCUGAAGCUCAGCUUGCUGGGUGGAUGAGUGGCGAACGGGUGAGUAACACGUGAGUAACCUGCCCUCUUCUUUGGGAUAACGCCCGGAAACGGGUGCUAAUACUGGAUAUUCACUGAUUCUCGCAUGGGGGUUGGUGGAAAGGUUUUUUCUGGUGGGGGAUGGGCUCGCGGCCUAUCAGCUUGUUGGUGGGGUGAUGGCCUACCAAGGCUUUGACGGGUAGCCGGCCUGGGGGGGUGACCGGUCGCAUUGGGAGUGAGAUACGGCCCAGACUACGACGGGAGGCAGCAGUGGGGAAUAUUGCACGAUGGGCGAAAGCCUGAUGCAGCGACGCCGCGUGAGGGAGGGAGGCCGUCGGGUUGUAAACCUCUUUCGCUCAUGGUCAAGCCGCAGCUUUGGGUUGUGGUGAGGGUAGUGGGUAAAGAAGCGCCGGCUAACUACGUG
rnacentral:rRNA from 1 species